UUUUUUUUUCUUUUUUAUUUCCUGCAUUUUGAAAUAAACUGGAUUUAUUUUUCCAGCACUUCACUGGAAAUGAAACUUUGCACAGGUGAGAAAACACAAAAAUGUAAUUCAAAGCCCCAUUGAAAUGGCCACAUCAAUGAAGAUUUAAAUGUCAUUUUCAGCCUCUUCUCUUACAUCUAUCACAGAGCUCCCUACAGAUCUGAAAUUAUACUGGAUUUUAAUAACACCUCUGGGUUUAAUGUGAGAUAAUGAAUGAAAUCUGCCCACAGAUGGGAAAGUGAGGGGGAAUUCAAAUUAUUUCUCUGCAGCCAGAGGGUGACUCCUUCCAUUACUGAAAAAACUUCCAUUUUUGAAAACAAAGGAGAAGGAGCUGCAACUUCUGGUUAAUUCUGGGGGGACUAUUCAGCUAUUUUUUAAUGAAAUGCAGGUUGAGAACAGAUUUUAGGCAAUUUAUUGCACAAGUAAGGCUGAUGGGAAAAUACAAGAUGCAGGAGAGAAUCCAAGUCCUUGAUCAGAGAGGCUGCAGCAGGUAAACAGAGCAGGUGUAAGAAAGGACUUGAAAAGGGCAGCACAUUUUGGUUUUCCUCAAAUGGAUUUUUAAAGGAGAUCAGGGGACAUUGACCCUUUCUAUAGAUAAUUCACUUCACCCCUCGUUUCUCUAAGGAAGAUGUCAUCACUUAUUCCAUGAAAUGUUCCCUGGCAUGGACUUGCAAGAAUAGAGCCCAGAGGUUGAUUCCAUCAUUUAUAUUGAUUUAUUACACUUGUCUAAAACAAUUUCAAGAGGAUUUUUUUGUUUUUUUUCCCCCCUCUGGGAAGCUCUGAAGUCCCAACCAUGCCUCUUGAUCACACAGGAAAGAUUGAACAGAAAAUAUUCCCUGGCAAUUCUGAAACCCAAAAAAAGGAGAGACCAACACACUUUUUGUGCACAGACCCGUGCCCAAGGUGCAUUUUGAUGCCAAUAUGAAAAAAUAUGAAAUAUGACUUUUAUCUGAAAUGCUGAUUUAGAAAUGCCAUGGAAUAGGACAGACAUUGUUGAGAGAGAAAUGGAACUAGAAACAAAUCUAUUUUCUAUAUAAUUAUAUAUAGAUUAAUAAUUAUAUAUAGAUUAUAAUUAUAAAAAUACAUAAUCUAUAAUAUUAUAUUUUUAUACAUAAUGACAUAAAAAGAUAAUAUUAUAUAUAGUCUAUUAUUAUCUAUUAUAUAUAGUAUACUGUUAUAUAUUAUAAGACACUAUUAAUAUAUAUUAAUAAGUUAAAUAUUUCAGGGCAGUAAAAUGCAGCACUUGAAGGUUUUCAAACAGCUGUGACUGAAUUUUGUAAAAAGUCAAAAUAAAGGAUUUACCCCUGUCUGUAAAAAAAACAGAAUUUCAGCCCCUGUGGGGAACAUUUGGACAAGUGUCCUUUCUGCAAGCAAAAGAAAAUAUUUUAAUACCCACAAGUAUUUUGCCUGCGGAAAUCUCCUCUCCACUGACACCUCUCACAGACGUUUCUCAUUAAUAUCAAACCAGCAAGCCAAACCAAUUCUCAUUGUCAAAUUCGGAAUUAUUCCAAUUCUCAUUUUUGAAAUCAAAAAUUGGGUCAAAUUCUCCUGAUGAUAAUAAUAAUAAUUCACUAUAAAAGAGUGUGUUAAGCACCUUUGGUGCGCUCACCUUUUGAAGUGUUCUGACAGGAUUGAGAAUUUCUGUUUCCUGCUCCUGGCUGGAAGGUUGAAAUAAGGAUUUGCCUUGGAUUUGUUUCUCUCCACCCAAAUGCUCUCACCAACCUCUGGGUUUUGGGAGUGGGGUUGUACUUGAAAGAAAAUAUUAUUACUUUGUGAUCUGUAAGAUCCACUUCCUCCUAUUUUAUUCUUUUAAUUAUCUAGUUAUUCGAGAUUUGUUGCAGACUCAGUUUUUUCAUCCCACUUAUUGCAGGGAAAUGGAGACAAUUUUGCUCCUUGGCUGUGACUUGGUUUUCCUUCUUCUAGGGACAACAAUUAUGGAAUUAUGGAAUUGUUUGGGUUGGGAGGGAAUUAAAAUCACCCUGUGGCACCUCUGCCAUGGGCAGGAACACCUUCCAUUGUCCCAGGCUGCUCCAAAUCCCAUCCAGCCUGGCCUUGGGCACAAUUCCUUCCAAAAAUCCCUCUAAAUCUGCCCUUUUUCCAUUUAAAGCCAUCCCCCCUGAGCAGACAGGGAAAUAAUUCCACUCAAAGCCAGCACAGGCUAGCAGGGAAAGCAGAAUAUGAGCAAGGCUGGUGUUGGCCUAAUUAAUAAUGCCAAUAGCAGGAGUUUGAUCAUUAAAAUGUAAUUUAUCCCCAGCAGCUGCUGCUGGAGAUAAGUCAGAGCAGAGCAUUUCAUCAGUGGCUCCAUAGGACAAUGUUUGCUUGGAAAUUAGAGGCUUCUGCUGCCCUGGAAGAAAAUAAUGAUCCUGAAAUGCAAGAGGUUGCAAAUGAUCGCUGGAAAUGAGGUGAAAACAGGAAUUGCCCUGUCCGAAGUUUAAAAUCCAUGUCAAAUGAAAACAAAGUAAAAUUUAACAGAGUAAAUAUAUUUUUUUUAAUUUUUAAUUAAAUUUUUAAAUUUUAUUUAAAUUUAUUUUAUUUAAAUUUUAAAUUUUAUUUAAAAUUUAUUUUAUUUAAAUUUUAAAUUUUAUUUAAAAUUUAAUUAUUUUAUUUAAAUAUUUAAAUAAAAUGUACUGCAUAGGAGCUUAUUAACAUAAAUAAAAUAUGCUAUUUAGUCUGUUAACUUUACUGUACUUAUAAAACUGUCCCAUAAAGAAAAAAGAAUACAAUCUCUAAAAUAAAAAAAAAAAUAAAAAAACCCUUAAACUCUAAAACUAAAAAGUCUACAAAAAUAGGCAAAAAUAUUAAAAAGUUUUUUGUACAAAAGACCAACUAUAAAUUAUAAUUCAAAAUCAACAAAAUAAAUAUACAUAAACCUAUUAUAAAAUUAUAUAUAUAUAUAUAUAUAUAUAUAUAUAUAUAUAUAUAAAUGCAAAAUAAUAAAAAAUAUCAAAAAUCCCCAAAAAGCGCACAUGCCCUUUAAAAAAAAAUCCCUAUGACAAGAAAAAUCCCAGUAUGCGCCCAGCACUAAUGGAAUUAUGUGUGGAGUACUUAAAAAAAAAAAAAAAAAAAGGAAAAAGCAAAACAAAAAAGUGUUUUCAGCAGAAAAAGAAAUGUGAAAUGAUGGUUUCCCAGGGUUCAGCCUUGAGCACUCCCCUCAUCAAGUGUUUCCAAAAUUUGUUCCCCAAACAAGCCUUUAGCAUCACUUAAAGAAACCCCAGUACAGCUGAGGACAAUAAAAUACCAAAUUCAGAGGGGUGUCAAUCUUCUUUUGUUCUGACUGACUCCAGAGCAGCACAAACUCCUUUUUAUUCCCAGAAAUUCCCUUACAACCAGCUCAGGCUGGAGAGAAAUCUCCCUCACCUCCCACUCGUGACUUUAAACCCAGGAAAGAGAAUUAAACCCGAUUUUCUCGGUAGGUGGAAAACCAACUGGACACUGCGAUCCCCUGGGGAAAGGGAAAGUUAAUUAACAGUGAAUUAU
rnacentral:lncRNA from 1 species